UCGUGCUAGAUGGGGAGUUAGCGGUGCCCUGCACCUGCAAUCCGCUACAGCAGGAUUGAAUUCCUCUUCGAGGUUUGCGCGAUUCAGGACUGCGGUCCGUGCGCGAUGUUGAUGGUGAGGUCUCGCUCGGCGGGGCGGUGUGAACGGGUCAGGAC
rnacentral:SRP_RNA from 1 species